rnacentral:rRNA from 1 species
GGCUCAGGACGAACGCUGGCGGCGUGCUUAACACAUGCAAGUCGAACGAUGAAGCCCUUCGGGGUGGAUUAGUGGCGAACGGGUGAGUAACACGUGGGCAAUCUGCCCUUCACUCUGGGACAAGCCCUGGAAACGGGGUCUAAUACCGGAUAAUACUCCUGCCUGCAUGGGUGGGGGUUGAAAGCUCCGGCGGUGAAGGAUGAGCCCGCGGCCUAUCAGCUUGUUGGUGGGGUAAUGGCCCACCAAGGCGACGACGGGUAGCCGGCCUGAGAGGGCGACCGGCCACACUGGGACUGAGACACGGCCCAGACUCCUACGGGAGGCAGCAGUGGGGAAUAUUGCACAAUGGGCGAAAGCCUGAUGCAGCGACGCCGCGUGAGGGAUGACGGCCUUCGGGUUGUAAACCUCUUUCAGCAGGGAAGAAGCGAAAGUGACGGUACCUGCAGAAGAAGCGCCGGCUAACUACGUGCCAGCAGCCGCGGUAAUACGUAGGGCGCAAGCGUUGUCCGGAAUUAUUGGGCGUAAAGAGCUCGUAGGCGGCUUGUCACGUCGGAUGUGAAAGCCCGAGGCUUAACCUCGGGUCUGCAUUCGAUACGGGCUAGCUAGAGUGUGGUAGGGGAGAUCGGAAUUCCUGGUGUAGCGGUGAAAUGCGCAGAUAUCAGGAGGAACACCGGUGGCGAAGGCGGAUCUCUGGGCCAUUACUGACGCUGAGGAGCGAAA